CCGGAAUAAAGUAGUUAUUUCUUCAUAACUCAAAGAAUUUGGCGGUUAGUUUUAUUAUUCAGGGGAACUUGUUUAUUAAUUGAUAAACCACGAUAGUUUAUACUUUUUUUUUACUUAUAUACCUCUAUAUUUAUGAAUGUUUUUUUAGAAUAAUUUUUUUUUAGAUUAAUCAUUUAAAUUAGGUCAAGGUGUAGUUUUUAAUAAGUUUAAAUGAGUUACUUUAUUUUUAAUUGUUAAUUUAAGUUUUAUAUUUUAUUUAUCUACAUAUAGGAUUUGAAAGUAAUUUUAAUUAAUUAAUUAUUUUGAAUUUU
rnacentral:rRNA from 1 species